UACGGAGGGGGCUAGCGUUAUUCGGAAUUAUUGGGCGUAAAGGGCGCGUAGGCGGCCCGGUAAGUCAAAGGUGAAAUCCCUCGGCUCAACUGAGGAACUGCCUUUGAAACUGUCGGGCUUGAGGCCGGGAGGGGGUAGCGGAAUUCCCAGUGUAGCGGUGAAAUGCGUAGAUAUUGGGAGGAACACCGGUGGCGAAGGCGGCUACCUGGACCGGUUCUGACGCUGAUGCGCGAAAGCGUGGGGAGCAAACAGG
rnacentral:rRNA from 1 species